GCCAGACUCCUACGGGAGGCAGCAGUGGGGAAUAUUGCACAAUGGGGGAAACCCUGAUGCAGCGACGCCGCGUGAGCGAAGAAGUAAUUCGUUAUGUAAAGCUCUAUCAGCAGGGAAGAAAAUGACGGUACCUGACUAAGAAGCCCCGGCUAACUACGUGCCAGCAGCCGCGGUAAUACGUAGGGGGCAAGCGUUAUCCGGAUUUACUGGGUGUAAAGGGAGCGUAGGUGGCAGGGCAAGUCAGAUGUGAAAACCCGGGGCUCAACCCCGGGAGUGCAUUUGAAACUGUCCAGCUGGAGUGCAGGAGAGGUAAGCGGAAUUCCUAGUGUAGCGGUGAAAUGCGUAGAUAUUAGGAGGAACACCAGUGGCGAAGGCGGCCUACUGGACGGUGACUGACGCUGAGGCUCGAAAGCGUGGGGAGCAAACAGGAUUAGAUACCCCGGUAC
rnacentral:rRNA from 1 species